GGUCAAGUUAUUAAGAGUCUACGGUGGAUGCCUUGGGGCCAAGGGCCGAAGAAGGGCGCGGCAAGACUGCGAAAAGCCUCGGUGAGCCGUCUGGCGAGCUUAGCCGGGGAUACCCGAAUGGGGAAACCCAUCCUGGCUCAUACCAGGAAACCCUGCGAAAACGCAGGGAGGUAAGUGGGGGAACUGAAACAUCUAAGUACCCUGAGGAAAAUAAAUCAACAGAGAUUCCCCUAGUAGUGGCGAACGAACGGGGAAGAGCUCAAACCUAUCGGACUUAGUGGACUGGGGUCCUAUGUCCGGUGGGGGUUGUAACACAUGCUAGUUCAAGCCCCAGCGAGAACACGGAGUAAGAAACCCGAACCUUAGCUGAACGAAUCUGGAAAGGACGACCGAAGAGGGUGAUAGUCCCGUAAGCGAAAGGGUUUGGGCUCCUGGCAUGCUGUUGAGUACCACGGGACACGUGAAAUCCUGUGGGAAGCUGGGGGGACCACCCUCCAAAGCUAAAUACCCUUGGCCACCGAUAGUGAACCAGUACCGUGAGGGAAAGGUGAAAAGAACCCCGGGAGGGGAGUGAAAUAGACCUGAAACCGUAGACUUACAAGCCGUGGAAGGCUGGGCUUCGGCCCGGCUGACUGCGUGCCUAUUGAAGAAUGAGCCGGCGAGUUAAUUUAGGCAGCAAGGUUAAGGGAUAUAAGUUCCGGAGCCGAAGCGAAAGCGAGUCUGAACAGGGCGUGCAGUUGUCUGGAUUAGACCCGAAACCGGGUGAGCUACCCAUGGCCAGGCUGAAGCUCAGGUAGUACUGAGUGGAGGGCCGAACCCGUGUACGGUGCAAAGUGCUGGGAUGAGCUGUGGGUAGAGGUGAAAUGCCAAUCGAACCCGGAGAUAGCUGGUUCUCCCCGAAAUGUAUUUAGGUACAGCCUCAAGUUAGUUUUGUGGAGGUAGGGCACUGGAUGGGCUAGGGGGCGUGAGCUUACCAACCCCAACCAAACCACGAAUGCCAUAAAAUGAUGCUUGGGAGUGAGACAGUGGGGGAUAAGCUCCAUUGUCGAGAGGGAAACAGCCCAGACCGCAGGCUAAGGCCCCCAAGUGUGGACUAAGUGUGAAAGGAAGUGGGAAUCCCCAGACAGCUAGGAGGUUGGCUUAGAAGCAGCCAUCCUUUAAAGAGUGCGUAACAGCUCACUAGUCGAGGGCUCCUGCGCCGAAAAUGUAACGGGGCUAAAGUCCACCGCCGAAGCCGCGGAAUUCUGCUCUAUUUAUGAGCGGGGUUGGUAGGGGAGCGUUGUCAGGGCAUUGAAGCUGGUGCCGUAAGGCCUGGUGGAGCGCUGAGAAGUGAGAAUGCCGGCAUGAGUAGCGACAAUCCUGGUGCGAAUCCAGGACACCGAAAGCCCAAGGUUUCCUACGCAACGUUGAUCGGCGUAGGGUAAGUCGGUCCUAAGCUGUAGCGUACCGCGAAAGCGAUGGACAGCAGGUCAAAAUUCCUGCACCACUGUUAUACCGCUCUAAAGCAGAGGAGGGACGUGGGAAGGUAGGCAGGGCGCGCCCAUCGGACAUGGCGCGUUUGCCCUUGUAGGCGACGACGGGGAUAGGCAAAUCCGUUCCCAGAGCUGAGGGGGGUGAAAACUCCAGGGAUAAUACCCGGGGGAAUCUUGCUGAACCUAUGCCACCAAGAAAAUCUUCGCUGCCAGGGAUUACAGUGACCGUACCGCAAACCGACACAGGUGGGCAAGGGUAAAAGUCCUAAGGUGAACGGGAGAACCCUCGUUAAGGAACUCGACAAGUUAGCCCUGUAACUUCGGGAGAAAGGGUGCCCAUGGGGUGAUGUCACAUGCUGACUAAGCCCUUGUGGGCCGCAGUGAAGAGGCUCAGGCGACUGUUUACCAAAAACACAGGUCUCUGCUAAGCCGAAAGGCGAUGUAUAGGGGCUGACGCCUGCCCAGUGCCGGAAGGUUAAGAGGCGAGGUUCGACGCAAGUCAAAGCUUCAAAUCGAAGCCCCGGUGAACGGCGGCCGUAACUAUAACGGUCCUAAGGUAGCGAAAUCCCUUGUCGGGUAAGUUCCGACCCGCACGAAUGGCGUCACGACCUGAGCGUUGUCUCAACGAGGGACUCGGUGAAAUUGCAAGGCCAGUGAAGAUGCUGGCUACCCGCGACAGGACAAAAAGACCCCGUGGAGCUUUACUGUAGCUUGGCAGUGGACUGGGGUUAUGGAUGUGUAGGAUAGGCGGGAGACUGUGAAGCCCGGACGCCAGUUCGGGUGGAGUCGACCUUGAAAUACCGCUCUUCUAUAUCUUCGGCCCUAACUCCAUCAAAAAUGGAGGACCCUGCCAGGUGGGCAGUUUGACUGGGGCGGUCGCCUCCCAAAAAGUAACGGAGGCGUUCAAAGGUUCCCUCAGGGUGGAUGGAAAUCACCUAUAGAGUGCAUUGGCAUAAGGGAGCUUGACUGUGAGACCUACAAGUCGAGCAGAGACGAAAGUCGGACAAAGUGAUCCUACGGUUCCGAGUGGAAGGGCCGUGGCUUAACGGAUAAAAGCUACCCCGGGGAUAACAGGCUAAUCACGCCCAAGAGUUCACAUCGACGGCGUGGUUUGGCACCUCGAUGUCGGCUCGUCGCAUCCUGGGGCUGAAGAAGGUCCCAAGGGUUGGGCUGUUCGCCCAUUAAAGCGGCACGCGAGCUGGGUUCAGAACGUCGUGAGACAGUUCGGUCUCUAUCCGUCGUGGGCGUAGGAGAUUUGAGGAGAGCUUUCCCUAGUACGAGAGGACCGGGAAGGACAGACCUCUGGUGUACCGGUUGUUCCGCCAGGAGCAUCGCCGGGUAGCCAAGUCUGGAUGCGAUAAGCGCUGAAAGCAUCUAAGCGCGAAGCCAACUCCAAGAUUAGAUCUCCCUUCCCUUUAAGUAGGGAGUAAGGUUCCCGGUAGACUACCGGGUUGAUAGGCCGCAGGUGUAAGGUGGGUAACCAUUUCAGCUGAGCGGUACUAAUAAACCGAGGACUUGACCCA
rnacentral:rRNA from 1 species